rfam:Phaethon lepturus contig1869, whole genome shotgun sequence.
CUUCAGUGAAGAUGAGAUGACGAGUCUGAAAGGGAAUAUCCUUGUUCCAAGUGCCCUGCUUCAUGUUGUGUUCUACAGCAUGGAUUUGGGGCCCUUGGAUCACAAUUUGAGUGACUUAGAGGCAUUUGUCUGAGAAGG